rnacentral:lncRNA from 13 species
GGAGGGUACUAUGGUGUUAAAUGCUGAGCUGUAAUCGAUGAACAGCAUUCUUACAUAGGUAUUCCUCUUGUCCAUAUGGGUUAGGGCAGUGUGAUUGCGAUUACGUCGUCUGUGGACCUAUUUGGUCGGUAAGCAAGUUGGAGUGGGUCUAGCGUGUCAGGUAGGGUCUCUGUUUCAUCCCUGUGUCAGCAUUAUUGUCGUUUCCGUUUCCCUUGUCCAGACGCUGUCCGUAUUCUGUUCCUGUCUGUUUCCCCUGUCCAUACGCUGUCCGUAUUCUGUUCCUGUCUGUUUCCCCUGUCCAGACGCUGUCCGUAUUCUGUUCCCUUGUCCAGACGCUGUCCGUAUUCUGUUCCUGUCUGUUUCCCCUGUCCAUACGCUGUCCGUAUUCUGUUCCUGUCUGUUUCCCCUGUCCAGACGCUGUCCGUAUUCUGUUCCUGUCUGUUUCCCCUGUCCAGACGCUGUCCGUAUUCUGUUCCUGUCUGUUUCCCCUGUCCAGACGCUGUCCGUAUUCUGUUCCUGUCUGUUUCCCCUGUCCAGACGCUGUCCGUAUUCUGUUCCUGUCUGUUUCCCCUGUCCAGACGCUGUCCGUAUUCUGUUCCUGUCUGUUUCCCCUGUCCAGACGCUGUCCGUAUUCUGUUCCUGUCUGUUUCCCCUGUCCAGACGCUGUCCGUAUUCUGUUCCUGUCUGUUUCCCCUGUCCAGACGCUGUCCGUAUUCUGUUCCUGUCUGUUUCCCCUGUCCAGACGCUGUCCGUAUUCUGUUCCUGUCUGUUUCCCCUGUCCAGACGCUGUCCGUAUUCUGUUCCUGUCUGUUUCCCCUGUCCAGACGCUGUCCGUAUUCUGUUCCUGUCCAUGAUUAUUAAAUGUUCACUCCCUGUACCCGCUUCUCGUCUCCAGCGUCCAUCCUUACACAACAGCCUGAUCAACUCUAUUUGAAGAAUAUGUGUUGCACUGCAUGAGGCAAAUGGUGGUCACACCAGAUACUGACUGGUUUUCUGAUCUCCGCCCCAAACUCUUUUAAAGGUAUCUGUGGACAACAGAUGCAUAUCUGUAUUCCCAGUCAUGUGAAAUCCAUAGAUUAGGGCCUGAUUAAUUUAUUUCAAUUGACUGAUUUCCUUAUAUGAACUGGAACUCAGUAAAAUCUUUGAAAUUGUUGCAUGUUGCGUUUAUAUUUUUGUUCAGUGUAAAUUCAAAUCUUCAUAGUGUUUUGAGUAGUUAAUUACUAUUUUUGCACUGUAGAUGGGGCAGCUAACUACUGGAAAUUCCCACAAAUAGUUUUGAGGAAAAAAACACUUUUGAAAGAAACUUUAUAUAAACAAACUAUAUUUCUCUUAAGGGUAGCUUUACUGUAGCUCAACUAUGGCACUUUCACAUUGAUUCAGAGAAAAUACUUAUUACUCAAAUAUAAAGCUGUGAAUUUCUUACGUCUCAACCUCUACCUCCGGAGGUAGCACACAACAUUUGCCCAACAGUUGCUGCCCUCUAAGCAGGGAACUGUACACAGAAUUGUCUCGUUGAACA